AUCUCCAAUUCUCUUUAGUCUCUCCGAUUGCUCCCAUCCCUCUUCAUGUGAGCGACACAGAAAGACAGAUCGGGGAGCUACUAUUCACCUUUGACCGGCGGCGACCGCCACCGAUGACCACAAAUCUUGACGCUGGCCGGAAACUUCCUAUGGAGCUUCGAUCUCUGGCCAUGGCCCUGCUCCUUGCGUUCCUCCUCCUCUCCCAAGUCGCCUCCGUGGCCGUGUCCUUCACUUCUCCGUCCCCCUCUCCGUCGCCGGCACCUGCCUCGCACCGUACGCUGCCUAAGCAGUUGGACCGGGACCUCGACGGCGUGCCGCGCCGGCCCCCGGGGAUUCCCUCCCUGCGCGCGCCGCCUGAUCUGAUGAAGCACGGACACCACCAAGGCAGAAAUCCGGUGCCGGCGAGCACUGGGAAGCCGAAGCUUAAUUAUGGGGAAAAGAUCGGGCUGGCGUUUGCUGGCGUCGCCGCCGGGUUGCAGGUGGCGCUGGGGGGUGUCCUCGUUCUCAAAAGAUGGCAGUUGAAGAAAGUGGAGCGCGAUGAUCGAGGAACGGCGGUCUCUUCCUCCAACCCUCAUCCUUGAUUCGCCUACCUCUUCAAAAUGAUGAUCUUUUCCCUCCCCAAAUGAAAAAGGUUAAAUCGAAGCUCUUCCCGUUUAAUGUGCAAUGGACGAAAUCUGGAUUGUUAAGUGGGUACAAGGCAGAAUGCGGAUGUUGCUUACUCGAAGAUGACUGAGCAUUCCAUGAUCCGUGGAUGGAUCCGAUCAAACCUCAUCCUGUACAAAUAGGCAAGCAAACAGGGCCUUUGACUCCAACAUGCAAGGAAGAAGAACUGCCUUUCCGGGAAAGGGAAAGGGGUUGACGAGGCUGACCAAGCAUAGGUUCUGGGCAGUCGAAUAUAAUUGCUGGGCGACUCAAGGCAAAAAUUGGGGCUUCGAUGGGCUUGUGACCAAGGAUCAGCAGCCAAUAUGCACCAAUUGCAGGUUGAUAUCUUUGUGAAUGCUUAUUGUAGUUUGUAUAGAAUUUGAUCAAGUUUUGUCAACAUUUGACAAGUUAAUUGGAUAAACUUAAUUAAAAUUGUGAUAAGACUUAUCCGGCUCGAUUUUUCUAUUUUGAAUUAGUCUUAACUUAUCUGAAACUCAUGAAAGGGGAUUCUUAAACAACUGUAAAGCAGGGAAAUUUUCUUGAAGAGGAGGUAAGCACAUGCCUUUAACUUUAUUCAAGAAGUAUUACCAAGUGGCAACAUCUUAUACCAUGUGGAUUUUUAGGGUGGAACAUUACUUUGACUGCAUCAAGACCCUUGAAAAAAAAAAAUUUCACUCGACCAGGUACCGGAAUGGAAUAUCAGAUAGCUUUUGAAAAAUUAAAUAAUAUGCUUGUACAAAUUCCUCAAGAAUCCCUAUUUGGAAUUUUUGUAGGUUGUAAGCCUUACCCAUAAACUGAAGUACCAUGUGAUAAUCCAGUGUCUCUUCAAAGCUUUCUUGUAAGCUAAUGUUGCUAAGAAAAAUUCCAAUAAUGAUGAUUGCUGAGAUAAUUAAUCCCUAGGCUCAACAUUUUUGAACUCAGGUUGGUUAGGAAUCUCGGAGUUCAAAUGUCUUGAAUAUUUCCCAAAUCCCUACUAAAACUUCAAACUUGCAUCAUGAGACUAGUUGAGAUGAUUUAUGUACAAGUUGUCCGACAAAAAUAUUUGUAGCCAGUUAUUCUCAGCCUUUACAAAAUUGUUUUGUGCCUAUAUUGUCUAUAUAUCUCAUAUCUAAGGAUUGAGGAAUGGCAUUGGCACAAGAAAUUGUAAUGAUUCUAACAUUAUUUUCGAAGAUUCUAAACCUCUCCUUUGAUGCUUUUAACAAUGUAUGUGUCCACCUCUCUUAUUGCUGAAGCUCUUUGGGUAAUCGACUCGGAAAAAAUUAUCUUUGGUGUCCUCUUAGGAUGUCCAAACCCUACUUUUUAUCUUAGAGGAAGCUUUGGGAGUGGAAAGUGAAGGAUUAAAGUUGAUGUUAUGGUAUAUAAAUGAGUUUUUCAAUUGAAAAGUGAAAAAGAAGGGAUGCCUAGCAAUUUGUUUUUCAGUGGGUUCCUUUUAAGUUGAAUUUUAUGAUUGUAGAGGACGUUUCUUUUUUUAACACGUGACAAACUAAAGGUCGGUUUAUAGUUGUACGUGCCUCACUUAAGUAAACCUCUUGGAUUGUAUGGUCAAUAAGAUAAAAAAAGCUGAUACAUGGUUUGAUUUAUUUGAUUUGUAAAAAAUCCAGAGAUCCUUUUAGAUAUUGAUUUUAAUAUGAUAUUUGGAUCAAUAAGUCUUAUUUUGAUCAUUGUGCCUUGGGCGAUCCUGGUAACAUUAGAUAUAUUGAUAUGUCUAGAGGUCAGUCCAUUUGAGAUUGCAUUGAGACUAUACUUAUAGAUCAAAAUCAUAGCAUCUCCCACCAAAGGUGACUAUGAUAUCAUGGCCAAACUAGUUCAAAAGUGUACUUUUGUAGUCAUACCUUCGAAUGAUACUGCCCGUACUGGGCGGUAUCAACCUGGCUGCGACGAGAGAAGAAAAAGCAUUAAGGGAGAAGAGGGAGAAGGCGCUCGAAGAAGAGGGAGAAUCGGGAGAACCUCGAUGCUUUCCGAUCUGACGUCGCCCUCCCUUGACGAUCCUGAUCCAGGAGGUAACGGAGAGGCGACGGCUCGGCUUCUUCUUCGCCGAAGGCCGAAGAUGUCUGCGGCCUUCAACGUCUUCGCCAAACACCGCAAAUGAGGAGAAGACCGCACUCUUCUCCUCGUCUAACACGAUAAGGAGAAGAAAAGGAGGCGAUGUCGUUGAGGCAACAUACGCCUCCUUUUUUUUUAUUAUUAUUAUAUUAUAUAUAUGUGUGUGUGUUUUAUAUUUAUUAUAUUAUAUGUGUGUGUGUGUCUUCGUCGAAGAUGUCUGCGACCUUCGACGUCUUCGCCGAACGCCACAAAUGAGGAGAAGACCGUGUUCUUCUCCUUGUCUGACAUGAUGAGGAGAAGAAAAGGAGGCGAUGUUGUUGAGGCAACGUACGCCUCCUUUUUCUAUAUUUAUUAUAUUAUAUAUAUAUGUGUGUGUGUGUUUUAUAUUUAUUAUAUUAUAUAUGUGUGUGUGUAGCAGUACACCCUAGCAUACCACUCCGUAUGCUCGUACCGUACCGUACCGAGCAAAGCUCGAUACGUUGGUCGAUACGAAAUUACAAACCUUGAGUCAUACUCCUUUGCUAAUUAUUUGAAUUGGGGACAAGGCUGGUGAUUAUUUUUCAGAGGCAUAAAUUGAUUAAUUGUUCUGAUUUUAUUCCUUUCCUUGAUCUGAAGCGUGCAUAGUAUGUUUUGAUACUUAGCCCAUCCCAUUCUAGAUGUUCCCUUUGACUUGUCCUCUGCAGAGAAAUUCUUUUUCAUCUGUUAUUAGGUGGUGCUAUGGAAAGCUAUUACAAGAAGCUUGGGUGCUAUAUACUUGAUAUAAGAACACAGCUGGUUUGAAAUCUCAAAAAUCAGCAACUUCCAACUUUCCUUCAUGAUCUAUAUUUUUGUCCUGUUUUAAAUUUUGUGACUCGGAGGUGAAGCCUGAGGAUAAACAUAAAUUUGCACUUGCAGAGGGCUCCAAGUUGAAGAUGAGGAUCCUGAUUCUUGCCUUUUAAGAACAGUAUUUUUAUAAUUAGUUUAAUGCUUUUAUUACUUUUAGUUUUUCCAACAGUGCAUCGCAUGAUUUUCUGUUUUAUUUUUGGUAAUUCCUUUGGAAGGUCAAAUAAGUAAUGUUGGGUCCGGUAAGAGCCUUCAUUGGCAAGUCAUUUUCCUGUUAGUUCAAACUCAGUUUAGGCUCCAUCCUAUGAUCAGGGCAGUUAUAUUUUUCAGUUAUGAUUGUUUGUUGAACAAUAAGGCAUUUGUCAGAAUUUUAAUUUGAAAAUGAAGUUGGCUAGUAGUGAUAGGAAGCUACAUGACGAAUUGAUAUUUUGCUUGUUUAGAAGUUUGAAUUCUAGUGUGAUUUGGAAGUUGGUACAAGGUUCUAUUUGUUAGGUAUGUCUUCGAAAUAAGAUAUAUGUUAUCUUUCGAAAUUAUUUGUGUUUCUAAUCUUUGUUUUCCUGCUGCUUCUGUCUCUCUUUCUCUCUUUUAUUUUCUUCUUCCUUUGCUGUAAUAGCAAAGCUGCUGGUUUACCUCUCUUGGUAGUGAUUUUGUUUUUAUCCGCUAGAGCUGUUGCUAUCUUUUAAUUUGUAGCUUGAGAACAGCCAGAUCUGAUCCGGAUAAUUUUAUAUCUGUCACCUCUAGCAUAUUUGUUUACACUGUACUCAUAUGGACAUAUGUAAAAUGUGCUCCAUCAAUGCAGCAUCACUCUCUUUCCCUGUAUUUCUUUCCUGUUAAAACUUUCGUAGCUGCAAAAGUAUCAGGAGUCUUCAAAACAUUUUUGUAUGAAUUGACAAUUGAUAUCAAGGUGGUUAGUGCUUUAUAACAUGAUUACAUUUGGAAUAAAUACUUCUUAAGGCAACUAAGUACUGUGCUUCUUGGAGCAUGAUGUUGGACAACAAAUAUUUGAGCACUUGGUUCAGCAAAUAGAUGGGUGUCUCCAUGGGGAUUUCUUGGUCUUUUGAAGUGACUAAAGUGUCAUGAUAUCACUAUAGAUAUGGCAACUUCUAAAGGUUUCCUAAUUUUACAUGCUUAAGGUAGACUGAAUAUAGAGAUUAUCCUUUGAGUUAAAGAGGCUGAUAAAUAAAAAUUAAAAGGGCACUUCAGGAAGUCUAUUUAGAAGCUGAGUGCUGGAUGCUACCAAGCAAUUUUGGUGAACCAUGCUCAAUACUGUGCAGUAAUGAAGAUCUGUGUUUAUGAUUCACUUGGCAGAUUCAUGAUUGUUUAGAUCUUUUCAUUUGUUCCAUCUUUUUUGCUUUACUGUCUUAUUGCUAAUUAUUGUGUAUAAGAUGCAUUUUAAGCCAUUAGGUGUGGUUUAAGAGGUCUUGGAGCUAACUGUUGGAGAUACUAUUGCUUUACUCCAUUAGCUUGAAUUUCCAGUGAUGAUAAGGAAAUUGAACAACCAAGUUCAUAUGUGGUGAGUCACACAGAUACACAUCUCCAUGAAGGGUUCCAAUGGCUUGGAUAUGCCAUCAGUAAUCAGGACACGCAUAUGAACUGUGGUCCAAAUUGCAGUCCAAGUGCAGUAAGAAUCAUGUCAGAGCUAUAGCAGCAGUCUUUACAAAUCUGUGUUCUUGUUGGGACCGCUGUAAUGGUAAAAGGGACCAAGCCUGAGCUGGACAUUGGAAGCAUCCAAAUGUUGCUGAGUGGCCACUGGGUGCAGUUUUAGCUGCUAGUGAAGAACAUUAGGUGUAUCCAUCUCUGGGUUACAUUUUCCCCUGCAAAAUAGAUCCCAUCCCAUGUUGGUAGCCUAUUCAGAAAUAUGGAUGGACAGCAGGGUUUAUUGACUCCAAAAUGAGUACCUGCGAAUUAGUUCCAACCGGAGUUCAUAGUGAUCACAGUUUAUGCAAG